rnacentral:rRNA from 1 species
UACGUAGGGGGCAAGCGUUGUCCGGAAUUAUUGGGCGUAAAGCGCGCGCAGGCGGCUUUGUAAGUUUGGUGUUUAAGCUCGGAGCUCAACUCCGAUACGCAUCGAAAACUGCAAGGCUUGAGUGCAGAAGAGGAAAGUGGAAUUCCACGUGUAGCGGUGAAAUGCGCAGAUAUCAGGAAGAACACCCGUGGCGAAGGCGGCUCUCUGGGACGGUACUGACGCUGAGACGCGAAAGCGUGGGGAGCGAACAGG